GAUGAACGCUGGCGGCGUGCCUAAUACAUGCAAGUCGAGCGAACGGACGAGAAGCUUGCUUCUCUGAUGUUAGCGGCGGACGGGUGAGUAACACGUGGAUAACCUACCUAUAAGACUGGGAUAACUUCGGGAAACCGGAGCUAAUACCGGAUAAUAUUUUGAACCGCAUGGUUCAAAAGUGAAAGACGGUCUUGCUGUCACUUAUAGAUGGAUCCGCGCUGCAUUAGCUAGUUGGUAAGGUAACGGCUUACCAAGGCAACGAUGCAUAGCCGACCUGAGAGGGUGAUGGGCCACACUGGAACUGAGACACGGUCCAGACUCCUACGGGAGGCGGCAGUAGGGAUUCUUCCGCAAUGGGCGAAAGCCUGACGGAGCAACGCCGCGUGAGUGAUGAAGGUCUUCGGAUCGUAAAACUCUGUUAUUAGGGAAGAACAUAUGUGUAAGUACCUGUGCACAUCUUGACGGUACCUAAUCAGAAAGCCACGGCUAACUACGUG
rnacentral:rRNA from 1 species